AUUGAACGCUGGCGGCAUGCUUUACACAUGCAAGUCGAACGGCAGCGCGGGCUUCGGCCUGGCGGCGAGUGGCGAACGGGUGAGUAAUAUAUCGGAACGUACCCAAGAGUGGGGAUAACGUAGCGAAAGUUACGCUAAUACCGCAUACGAUCUAAGGAUGAAAGCAGGGGAUCGCAAGACCUUGUGCUCCUGGAGCGGCCGAUAUCUGAUUAGCUAGUUGGUGAGGUAAAGGCUCACCAAGGCAACGAUCAGUAGCUGGUCUGAGAGGACGACCAGCCACACUGGAACUGAGACACGGUCCAGACUCCUACGGGAGGCAGCAGUGGGGAAUUUUGGACAAUGGGGGCAACCCUGAUCCAGCAAUGCCGCGUGAGUGAUGAAGGCCUUAGGGUUGUAAAGCUCUUUUACCCGAGAUGAUAAUGACAGUAUCGGGAGAAUAAGCUCCGGCUAACUCCGUGCCAGCAGCCGCGGUAAU
rnacentral:rRNA from 1 species